GACACUAUGGCCGAGUGGUCUAAGGCGAUUGAUUAGAAAUCAAUUCUCUUCGGGGGCGGCGGUUCGAAUCCGCCUGGUGUCG